CGGGGUGAGUAAUGUCUGGGAAACUGCCUGAUGGAGGGGGAUAACUACUGGAAACGGUAGCUAAUACCGCAUAACGUCGCAAGACCAAAGAGGGGGACCUUCGGGCCUCUUGCCAUCGGAUGUGCCCAGAUGGGAUUAGCUAGUAGGUGGGGUAACGGCUCACCUAGGCGAUGAUCCCUAGCUGGUCUGAGAGGAUGACCAGCCACACUGGAACUGAGACACGGUCCAG
rnacentral:rRNA from 1 species